UUGUCCCUACGGGGGGCAGCAGUGAGGAAUAUUGGUCAAUGGACGAGAGUCUGAACCAGCCAAGUAGCGUGAAGGAUGACUGCCCUAUGGGUUGUAAACUUCUUUUAUAUGGGAAUAAAAUGUUCUACGUGUGGGAUUUUGUAUGUACCAUAUGCAUAAGGAUCGGCUAACUCCGUGCCAGCAGCCGCGGUAAUACGGAGGAUCCGAGCGUUGUCCGGAUUUACUGGGUGUAA
rnacentral:rRNA from 1 species